rnacentral:misc_RNA from 1 species
AACCUUAUGGACCUGCGGGCGUAUACCUGCGGAGGGAUCAUCAUCGAAUUCAUAUCCCCCUCCUCUCCCGAGGGGGCCCACGAUAAACCGUUCUGUGCACUGUUAAACCGUUCACUUUGGCAGGUUUUGGUGGUGAGCGUGAGCUCGCCUCCAAUCUCGCGUUCCCUCCUCCCUAAGGGGGUGUUACGCGUGGCGGCCUGCCAGAGUCCUCCCAUUAAAAACACGUUUUCGAACACGUCU